UCCCUGAUGGUCCAGUCGUUAGGACUCCCAGGUUUUCACUGGUGAGGGCCUAGGUUCAAUCCCUGGUCAGGGAA
rnacentral:tRNA from 1 species